rnacentral:tRNA from 1 species
GCCUGAGUGGCUUAAUGGUUGAGCAUCUGCCUUUGGCUCAGGUCAUGAUCCUGGGGUCCUGGGAUCGAGUCCCACAUCAGGUU